rnacentral:rRNA from 1 species
GAUGAACGCUGGCGGCGUGCCUAAUACAUGCAAGUCGAGCGAACGGACGAGAAGCUUGCUUUUCUGAUGUUAGCGGCGGACGGGUGAGUAACACGUGGAUAACCUACCAAUAAGACUGGGAUAACUUCGGGAAACCGGAGCUAAUACCGGAUAAUAUUUUGAACCGCAUGGUUCAAAAGUGAAAGACGGUCUUGCUGUCACUUAUAGAUGGAUCCGCGCUGCAUUAGCUAGUUGGUAAGGUAACGGCUUACCAAGGCAACGAUGCAUAGCCGACCUGAGAGGGUGAUCGGCCACACUGGAACUGAGACACGGUCCAGACUCCUACGGGAGGCAGCAGUAGGGAAUCUUCCGCAAUGGGCGAAAGCCUGACGGAGCAACGCCGCGUGAGUGAUGGAGGUCUUCGGAUCGUAAAACUCUGUUAUUAGGGAAGAACAUAUGUGUAAGUAACUGUGCACAUCUUGACGGUACCUAAUCAGAAAGCCACGGCUAACUACGUG